AUCCUAGAAGUUACACAGACUUACAGAUGCGCUGGUGGAGUAUCGUCAGCUGGCUACAUCGAACAAAGACCUCUUGGAUACUGAACAUAAUGGAGAAGCAGCAUUGGAAUAUUCUACAGAACAGCCUGACCUGGCUUCAGCAGAUAUUAGUGACUCUGACACAGACUAUUCAAGCAGCCAAUCAGCUAGGCAUUCCUUACCAGUGGAUGAAGAAGACAAAGCUCGAAACUUUUCAACUGGCUUUUCAGAAAUGGCACACGAGGACAACAUCACCGCUGAAUUUUUGAACAGUGUAAGAGAUAUGAAUGUUGAGGAAGUUACCGCUACUCUACGCAAAAUAGCAGCAGCAAAUCCAGCUUUCAGAGGUAAUUAGCUUAUACAUGCAUACACACAAAUGUGUAUAGAAAAAUAUACGUAACAAUAUUGUUAGUCUGUGAAAUAUUAAGGACUAUAUGGGUCAAAGAACUUUGAGGUAUUAAGAAGAGCUGGAGAAGCUUUUUUUUUAUUCCCUUUAGCUUUUGCAGGAUCCAGUUUAGGAAUGGGAAUUCAAAAUGGCUGCCUUCCAUGAAGGUGUUAGUAAUUGCUCGGUUUCUUUAAAAAUUCUUUUCUCAUUUGUGCAUAGUAUCAUUUACAUAGUGAGAGACAGUAAACUAAAAUCAAGCAUGUAUUAGAAGAAAGCAGAAUCCUCUGUGAUGUAACUGGUGAAACAUGAGUUGUGGGAAUGCCAGCAGCAAAGAAAUUUGUACUUACUGGUUCCUGAAGGAAUUGGACAGUAACAUAGAAAAAUAACAAUGCAUCAGAGACAGUUUCUUCUCCUUGCAAGUUUCCAAUAAAUUUCAGCUACUAAAUCUUUUCA
rnacentral:lncRNA from 14 species